GUCCACGCCGUAAACGAUGGGCACUAGGUGUGGGAGGUGUCGACUCCUCCCGUGCCGACGCUAACGCAUUAAGUGCCCCGCCUGGGGAGUACGGCCGCAAGGCUAAAACUCAAAGGAAUUGACGGGGGCCCGCACAAGCAGCGGAGCAUGUGGUUUAAUUCGACGCAACGCGAAGAACCUUACCUGGGCUUGACAUGUUGGUGACCGGUGUGGAAACACACCUUUCCUUCGGGACACCAUCACAGGUGGUGCAUGGCUGUCGU
rnacentral:rRNA from 1 species